rnacentral:misc_RNA from 1 species
AACGCACAUUGCGCCCUCUGGUAUUCCGGGGGGCAUGCCUGUUCGAGCGUCAUUAUAACCACUCAAGCUCUCGCUUGGUAUUGGGGUUCGCGGUUUCGCGGCCCCUAAAAUCAGUGGCGGUGCCUGUCGGCUCUACGCGUAGUAAUACUCCUCGCGAUUGAGUCCGGUAGGUUUACUUGCCAGCAACCCCUAAUUUUUUUAAGGUUGACCUCGGAUCAGGUAGGGAUACCCGCUGAACUUAA